ACCAGUGAUAACAUGUAUAUACAUGUCCUAAUUGUAGUUUCUGACUUUUAGGAUGCUACUUUGAGAUUAUGGAACAUUGAAAAGGCUGAUCACGUUCCUGCGGCAAUAGAAAGCAGAAAUACAAGAGGCUCAAAAAUAGCUCAAUGUGAAGAAUGUGAAAAACCUUUCUCACUCCUACAGUGUGAUGACUCUGAAGCGGUAACCAAGUGUGUAUUCUGCCGACUGGCUUCUCCUUCGAGAAAUAUUUUGCCAUUACCACCUAUUGUAGCACCUGAUCUCUAAAUUCUUCCCAACAGACUAUUUGUGCAAAUACAGUAAUUAUGUCUGCUCUUAAGGGUCUGCUGUAGGAGAAGAAAAGGCAUACUGACAAAGCCAUGAUUUGGUUCUAAGCAUGGCCCAUGGAUUCCUGGUAAAUUGGCAUAGUGAUCCCUG
rnacentral:lncRNA from 1 species